AUGCAUCAACCCAGAAGUGGACACCUUGAUGCAGUCUAUAGAAUCAUGAGGUAUCUAAAGGGCAGCCCUGGUAUGGGACUCUGGUUCAAGAGUAAUGGACAUUUGAAUGUUGACGGUUAUAGCGAUGCUGAUUGGGCUAGUUGUCUUGAUGAUAGACGAUCAACCUCUGGCUAUUGUGUGUUUGUUGGUGGAAAUUUGGUAUCAUGGAGAAGCAAAAAACAACCGGUGGUCUCAAAAUUAACUGCAGAAGCCGAGUAUAGGGCAAUGUCUCAAGGGCUGAGUGAGAUGUUAUGGGUAAGAGGCCUUCUGCUUGAGCUGAAAGUGCUCAGACAAGAUCCUCUGAAUGUGUGGUGUGACAACAAAUCUGCAAUCAAUGUUGCUAAUAAUCCAGUGCAACAUGACAGAACAAAACAUGUGGAGAAAGACAGAUUCUUUAUCAAAGAGAAACUGGAUGCAUGA
rnacentral:rRNA from 1 species